UACGGGGGGGCAAGCGUUGUUCGGAAUUACUGGGCGUAAAGGGCUCGUAGGCGGCCAACUAAGUCAGACGUGAAAUCCCUCGGCUUAACCGGGGAACUGCGUCUGAUACUGGAUGGCUAGAGGUUGGGAGAGGGAUGCGGAAUUCCAGGUGUAGCGGUGAAAUGCGUAGAUAUCUGGAGGAACACCGGUGGCGAAGGCGGCAUCCUGGACCAAUUCUGACGCUGAGGAGCGAAAAGCCAGGGGGAGCAAACGGG
rnacentral:rRNA from 1 species